UGUGAAUUGCCUGUGGAGCUGUGGGAAGAAGAUCCUCUUGAGGCUUAUUUGGAACUCUACAGGAAGAAAAGAAAUCAUCAAAUAACACUGAAACUUACUUAACCUGCCCAUCACCUGUGCUGAUAUUUUCAAGAGGAAGAGGUGGAGACGACAGAAGUUGUCCCACCAGCCCCAUCCUUUGAUGCCAGCUCUUUUUCCCUGGCCAGAGACUUCCUGAACCUCCUUCAUACAUGCUUCAAGGUCACAGUCCAGACCAAAGUGUUUACAAAAAAACUAAGCACUUAUAAAGAGGAAUUAUUGCCAACUCCUGAACUCCCAACGCCCCAGCUCCCACUAAGCUCUGCAAAACCAAGGAAGGGAUGAAGUGGUCUUUGGAAUCAGGAAUUUCUGGGUUUGGAUGCCAACAGGAAAACAAAUGAAUUCUGUCUGAUUUCUGCAGCAGGCGGAGGCUGCAGCUGCUGCUGCUGCCACCUCCUGGGAGAAGAC